UACGGAGGGUGCAAGCGUUGUUCGGAAUUACUGGGCGUAAAGGGCUCGUAGGCGGCCAACUAAGUCGGAUGUGAAAUCCCCAGGCUUAACCUGGGAACUGCAUCCGAUACUGGAUGGCUUGAAUCCGGGAGAGGGAUGCAGAAUUCCAGGUGUAGCGGUGAAAUGCGUAGAUAUCUGGAGGAAUACCGGUGGCGAAGGCGGCAUCCUGGACCGGCAUUGACGCUGAUGAGCGAAAGCUAGGGGAGCAAACGGG
rnacentral:rRNA from 1 species